CCCUCGCAAACCACAUCUCAGCCUUCUCUAAAUAACUAGCUUGUCACCCAAACAGGAGUGUUAAUGUAGGUCCUACGACAACCGUCUGAUUUAUUGUCCGAUUCGCUCAAGACGACGACAACAAAAGGCUGAUGUUUCUUUUUUCCCUUACACCCAAUUUAGCAGCCACCCGUUUAAGUGGCAUUGUCCUGAACAGCAUGGCAAGCAAAGAGAUGUGGGCCGUCUGCUUCUUGUCACUUCCUAUUAUUAAGAAGGCGCUCCGUGGCACCUGGGGGAAUGCCAGUCUCCGCUGUUCCCAUCAGAAAUCUGCAUAACGCUGCCUGAUGGCUGUGGCCGUCCAAACGUCCAAACACAACCUGUCAUGUCUCAAUGUUACCCAGUAUGCCAUGAGCAGCGCUGGGCCUGGGGACGCUUUCCAGCGCCCUAACACUCGAUGUCUCCGUCAACCACACUAAUCCAGCUCUACAAAUCAGAGAAGUCACCAGGCAUAUUUUUACUGCCAGGCCAAGCACAACAGCCUCUCGCCACUACCGCCAGUCUAAACAGGAAACUGUACGCAGUUUCAGCAGUGGUCCGUUUGUCACAUUAUAUGGGAUUACAUCCUGCCAGACUUUUUACAAUCCAUUAGAUCCUGGAGGUACAUCAGAGAGAAACGGAGCUGGAGUGGAAUUCCAGUCAGACGCAGGUGUCAGGAUCAAAAGUUGAAAACAUUCUCUGAGCAGCAGGAGGGGGUGGCAUGCUUGUUAGACUUGAAAAAUAACAAUUAGCAUCCACCAUGUGACAUGGCUCAUCAUAACAUUGCCAUAGUUGUCUUGAAGGUUCCACCAGUAUGUUCUUUAAGAGCUUUGGCUGAUGGCUGGUAGUGGCCUUGGGUACUUCAGGUCUGGCCGUCGACCAAGUGGGUCAUCAAUAGGAACAGAAGAGUUUUAGCACAGUUCAUCUGGUAGGGUCAGAUGGAUCAUCUCUGGUGUGUUUUACAUAUGUCUACUCCAUCAACUGUCCACCGAGAUCAGUGCCACUCUUUUUAUCCUUGUCCAAACCAAACUAGCGUCUUUUAACCAAGCCCCCCGAUAAUAAGAUUGAUGUUCAUUUAACCAUCAAACGUUUGGCUAAAUACUUUGA